GUUGGUGGUAGUGGUGACUGAACCCAUGCAAGAGCUUCUCCAUUGGGUGAGGCAUAUGAAACUCCAGCUUUUUGCACGUCACACGUGUGACAUCAUGCACACGGCACUGCCCCCCCCCUCCAACUGCCUUCGCAAGCUGGUGCCUCUGUGGCCAGGAGUAUGAGGUUUGUGUGUGUGUGUGUGUGAACUCCUCCAUCUCCUCACCUCUCAUUAAAGCUAUUGCAAGGGGCAAUAGAGUAAGCGGCUCUCUUUUCCAGGCCAAUUUCCUCCCCCACUGCAAAACCAGCCUAAGAUAAAAAAAAGAAAGAAAUAGGAUGCUGAAUUAUGCACACAAUUGACAGCACACUGUGAGCUGAACUUGAAGUAAAGGAAACAAAUAUGGAAAAUCAACAUCAGAGUUCCUGGCGUGACUAUAGUUCUCUUUAUUGUAGCUGGAUAGAUUGGAAUUGUUAGUCAUCACGCAGCAUUUAUAUUAGGUGCUAUAUUCCCUUGGCAGCAGCAGAGUAAACUGAUGAUGAACUGGUUGUGUUCCCUCAAAUUUCCUUACGCUAAUGAGAGCCUCUUAGCAUUGUCUUGGAUUUUCUUUUAUCAUAAUGACAUUUUCCAUGAUUUGUGAGAUGUUUCCAAUGUGAACAAUUCAGCAACUUAGAAAGCAGCUGGCAGGAACUCCUGCUCCCACCCACCUGCCUGGGAAUAGGAUUGGCUUUUCCCAUUCAGGAAAUAGAUGGAUGGCUGGUGCCUCUACACAGCCCUGGAGCAUGGCCUGAACCACAUGGGAUGCCCUAGCCAAUGACAAAGAUCCAUUUCUCCUACUUCUGAGCUUCCUGGUAUGUGAGCUUUUUGCCACUGCAGAACCAUAUUUUGGCCGUGGGACAUAGCUUGCAGACUGGAUAAAUUCAAAAUAUAUUGACAAAGCAUUUGAGAAGUACCCUUUGGAUUCAUCUUGCAAACAACCCCUCCUACACAACUGCCUGGAUAUCUAUUUUCAGAAUGGACAGUAGCAUUUUAUUGUACAGACAUGCAUUUCUUUAAGACACCGUUGCUGAAAGAUAUAUUGUGCAGAACACUUAGUGCCUGCAAAAUAUUAUGAGUCUCCAGUUGGAUCAGGAGAUUUUCCAAAACAAAGAACACAUUGCUAAUAACAAAGAGCUGUGAAAAAUAAAACAGAAUUUUUUUAGUGCCUUUGAAAAACAGGUUGAUGUAUUUGUUUGGAACAGAGGCAUGUUUAAAUAACACCUAAAGGCAUAUGGCUAGGUUAAAUGGCUUAGAUAUGGAAUUGCACCAGCAUAUUUGUGGGUUUCACCUUUGGGGAUAUGACAGGAAGAUGAUCCUUGGAAAUGACAGAAGCUUAAGUUAUUGCCAAAGGUUCCACAAAUUAUAGAAGUUGCGGCAGCCCUGUACUUGGGCCUGUCUCACUCUGACAAAGCAUACCUCUCUUUUGCAGUAGCCAACUGUUGAUGAAGUACCAGAAUGGCUGUUUUGUUAAGCAAUUGCCUGAUGAUGUUGUCUUUUCCCUGAAGGGCAUCUUGUCCUCCUGGGAGCCUGUCCCUUCAAGAACCUGCCUUUCCCAAUCCACAAAGCCCAAUGUGAAUAGCCUCUAGUGUUUAACUGAAAAUGUUUUAUUGCCAAAUAGUUUAGACCUUUCAGUCACUACCCAAGAUUCCCUGAAAUCCAAAUACAUGGAGCUGUGUCUAUGUCAUAGAGUCAGACCCAUUGAAAAUAAUGAAUUUAAAUUGCUCAUGUCCAUGGAUUUCAGUGGAUCUACUCAGAUAGAUCUAACCCACUGUUCUUCCACUGUGCUUUCAGCACUGCUGGGCACAGGAAUCACCUCAGUGUCUUCAAGUGGGAGACAAAGACAGGAAGCAGGAUCAGUUGGGAAAUCUGAAACAUUUCAGACUUUGCCACCGGAAAAUGCAUUGCCUUGUGUAAAGAGCUGCCCCCUUUUACCAUGUUCUUUUAAAGAUCCAGUUAGUUUGAUAUCUACCCAAGACUAGACAUUUGAAAACUACCCUGGAGUUUAAAGCUAGGAACAACAGUAUAACGGUGUCGAUAUACUUCUAGGAAGCAACAAUAUUUAGAGGGGAUUUGAGUCACAGCCUUGUACAAAUCGCUAUGGUCCAACAAGUGAUGAUUCCCAAGGUUGGAUACAGUGCCAAGAAAGAGAUUGUGGUUUGUUGCUCCUAUUCACACUGAGGGAGGAGCAAAACGGUAAACCUUUAAGCAUAACAUGCAGAUUCAACCUAUGUGUUUUCAUAUUGUCAUUUACUUAAGCCACAGGAGUAAUUCUAUUGCCUUCAUUCAUAAAGGCCUGGCAAGAGAAUUCUGAUGUCCCCCUUAUGGGUAUUGAUCUAUGUCUCAUGUGCUCUGCGCCUUUAUAAGUUAGCACUUUUUUCUUUCUUUUUUUACAGUGGAAGAGUUAUUUUAAAUAAAUACGUUUCUCCUAAACUCAAAUGAUUGAUGCACUUGGGACCUCGCAAAGUUUAUUGUUGCAGCAGAAAGACAGAGUGGAAAGUUUAUUCACAGCCCCUGCUACCCUCCUGCAUGGAAUCUUGAUGGUUAGAAGUGAAGAGUAACGGAUCAGAUUAGUUGCUGCCUGGUGAUUUAUUAAUGAGGAGUGCAUGAUGAAUGGAAGCCAGGAUUUAUACCUAGUAUAAGAGCAACAAGCAAUAUUUAUAGCGGCUUAUGGCAGAUUCCAUCUCUGCAUCAGGCCAGAUGCUGGUGAUGUCUUUCACAAAUCAUGUGUCUGCUGUACAGAAUCAUCGUGAG
rnacentral:lncRNA from 1 species